GACGAACGCUGGCGGCGUGCUUAACACAUGCAAGUCGAACGGAAAGGCCCUGCUUUUGUGGGGUGCUCGAGUGGCGAACGGGUGAGUAACACGUGAGUAACCUGCCCCUGACUUUGGGAUAACUUCAGGAAACUGGGGCUAAUACCGGAUAGGAGCUCCUGCUGCAUGGUGGGGGUUGGAAAGUUUCGGCGGUUGGGGAUGGACUCGCGGCUUAUCAGCUUGUUGGUGGGGUAGUGGCUUACCAAGGCUUUGACGGGUAGCCGGCCUGAGAGGGUGACCGGCCACAUUGGGACUGAGAUACGGCCCAGACUCCUACGGGAGGCAGCAGUGGGGAAUAUUGCACAAUGGGCGGAAGCCUGAUGCAGCAACGCCGCGUUCGGGAUGACGGCCUUCGGGUUGUAAACCGCUUUCGCCUGUGACGAAGCGUGAGUGACGGUAAUGGGUAAAGAAGCACCGGCUAACUACGUG
rnacentral:rRNA from 1 species